rnacentral:rRNA from 1 species
AGCGGCGGACGGGUGAGUAAUGCUUAGGAAUCUGCCUAUUAGUGGGGGACAACAUCUCGAAAGGGAUGCUAAUACCGCAUACGUCCUACGGGAGAAAGCAGGGGAUCUUCGGACCUUGCGCUAAUAGAUGAGCCUAAGUCGGAUUAGCUAGUUGGUGGGGUAAAGGCCUACCAAGGCGACGAUCUGUAGCGGGUCUGAGAGGAUGAUCCGCCACACUGGGACUGAGACACGGCCCAGACUCCUACGGGAGGCAGCAGUGGGGAAUAUUGGACAAUGGGGGGAACCCUGAUCCAGCCAUGCCGCGUGUGUGAAGAAGGCCUUAUGGUUGUAAAGCACUUUAAGCGAGGAGGAGGCUACUCUAGUUAAUACCUAGAGAUAGUGGACGUUACUCGCAGAAUAAGCACCGGCUAACUCUGUGCCAGCAGCCGCGGUAAUACAGAGGGUGCGAGCGUUAAUCGGAUUUACUGGGCGUAAAGCGUGCGUAGGCGGCUUAUUAAGUCGGAUGUGAAAUCCCCGAGCUUAACUUGGGAAUUGCAUUCGAUACUGGUGAGCUAGAGUAUGGGA